CAUCUAUUUUCGUACUCUGCAAGCACACAUUCGCUCACGCCCACAAAACAAAAAGGGCACCUACAUAAACUUCAGCAUAUAUAUAAAGGUUCGACCCGCCAGCCCAUAUGCAGGCCCAUUAUUCCAUGGGCUAGGAACCUCAUGACAAAUACAACCUUUUUACCAGGUCCAUUCCAUCUGCCUUAUCCUCUCCUUCAGACCAACCGAAACCGAAUCAUCUCUGCUUCGGACUUUCGUCCGCCUUUCUGUCUUCCUUGACGGCAAUUUCUAUCGCUUGUUGCCCCGUCCGUUCUGCCUGUAGAGACUUCACGUAUGAUCCAAACUGGCCUGAGAUAGUUCAGGGUCUUGAGCAUGGACAACAGGCGGUCGAUGAGGCUGAUUUUACUGCUCAAGUGUAUCAACUGAAACUCCUUGAGUACGUGGAAAAAAUUAAGGCCGGACAGGUGUUUGGGCUUGUAGUUACUGUCCUCCACUCCGUGGACUUCCACAAGAGGAGUCUGCCCCAUGCACAUAUCCUUGUUUGGCGGGAAAAAGAUUAUGGGCAGGUCACAAGUGUCGCUGCUCGUGGGUUGUCCAAAUGAUACACGGGCCAUCAAAAAACUGUGCGGCCCAGCCGCAGCCUACCUAUGGCCCGAUGACGGUAACUCUCACCUCCGGGGCCCCCACCAGCCGAGACGCCCUUAUCCAUCUUCUCCUUCUCCUAUCGUCUUAUCCAUCCAUCUCCUCACACUCUUCCUCAUCGCCUGCUCAGAUCUAACCUGCGGCAGCACCGACGCCAAGCUCAACAUGGAAGCCACGAAGGCUGCUGCCGAUUGACUCUUCCACACGAUCCACGAUUUCUCUGCCGACCUGACCAGCGCCCCUUCUCCCACCGGUCAGCAUCGUCUCUCUCGGCAGAGUCAAAUCCUUCUCGCCAUGGAUGACAACUUAUUCGUGCCUCUGCUCCCGAAGCUUGCAGCAACACUGGUCACCGCCAGCAGGCAGCACGUGCUGCAGUUAUCCAUAAAUGCCCUUAGAGUUACAGCAAGCCAAUCAGUACACUAUGACGAAGAUGAUGACAGUUUCUUUGCCACUGUUGAAAUACAUGUUCCAGCACAUGAAAACAUUCCUCAGUUUAAAACAACCAUAUUUGCUGGACACAACUGCCAAACAACAAACGCGGCUCAUGAAUCAGCGAGUACUACUGCUCUGCAUUACAUGCAGCAAGGAGGCAUUCUAAUUAUCGAUGACCUGAAUUUCCCUGAGCUUCAAAAGUGCAAAAAAGAGGUGGUCAGAGCCAAGUCAUGGUCAGACAUAUUUGAGCAUGAAACAGUCAAGCUAAAGAGAAAAAUAGGUUCCUUAGAGAGGGAAUUAGCAUCUCUUAAAGAGAACAGUGUUGUUCGUAAGCCAAUCCAGCAACCCUAGGCAACAGAAGAGCUAGACCAAUAGGUAUAGGCUGAACCUUCUACAUCAUGCAAUUUAGUUAUUCUUUACUUAGUUCUUCCUAAUUAGUGAAUAACCUCUAAAAAAUAUAAAUGGUACAGAUAUGUACCUCAUACGAUUUAGCUUAAAUUUUUUGUUAUGCUGCUGAGAAAAUUGAACAAUUUUUCCUUUGUGUAUUGAAAACACGCGCCACCAUUUUCAUCUAAGAACUUCUAUGCACAAACUGAUUUCAUUCAACGGCUUGAAUCUCAGCUUUACUAAGCAUUUUAUGUUUUCCACUGUCUUCCUACCUGAUGUUUCUUUGCCUCUGUGUUUAAAGCCCUCAGCUGCAUUGCAAAUGUCAACACCGCCUACUGAACAAUAGUUUAUACAGCCUAUUCCAGUUGCAGACACGGUCAGUUAUAUCCUGUGUUUUAGCGUGAUAUAUGUCUUUCAACUGCACUUCGUAUCCCACUACAACCACAUGUAAUUCCACUUCUGGUACAAACAGAGGAUGCACAAUACCAAUGAACCAAUGGAUGUAUUUUCUAACUUCUCACUUCAGCCUUUUUAACUCUAUAUUUAAAAACCUCAAAUGAAUUAUAGGUGUCAAUCCCACCACAUGAACAUCAUUGCACUGAACUUUUCACUGUUGCCAAUAAGGUCAGUUAUUUCCCCUUUUCAGCUAAUCUAUAUGCAUGCUGCAAGUGCGCUUUCAAUACCUGUGUAAUAACAUGUCCUGACCAUGUGCAGCCCAAAGAGAACAACAAAGGCGAUGGCCCCUUCCUGUCAGCUACAACAUCAACUCAUAAAUUACCUUCUUCUAGUGCCAGAACCCUAACAAGAAAGCAUGGCGUUGGUGCAAGAAGGGCUUUGUUUGCCAGCAAGCGAAAAGACACCAAUGCUUAGAUGCCAAGGGAUCAAUUAGCAACAGCACAAGUUCUAUUAGUUCGUGUAGUAUAUGCUGGAGCUCUUGGUUGUACGCUUUUGAGUAGCCUAUAUGAGCUAACAAACAGAACACCUCUUCUAUAUCAAUGUAUUAUACUUUCAUGAUUUCAUCUACUAAAAAUGCUUCUACAAUCUAUUUAUCAUUUGUAUGCUUUUAUAAACCAUAGUAACAGAUUGCUAUUAACAAGGUGGAUUAAAGUUCCAGAGCCAGGUA